rnacentral:lncRNA from 1 species
GCACGGGCUGCGGGGGUGGGGACUCUCCCUGAGGUCACCAGGGGCUCCGCCUUGAGGUCACAGCCGCGGGAGGCCGUGCUCGUGCUUUGGAGCUCCACGUGAUGUGGUCGGUGGAAGACGUCUCCUUUGUCAGAAUCUGCGCUCAGAUUCCCGGAAUAGCUGCCAGACCGACCCCAGCGUUGAGCCCGGGAAGGGAAGGAGGUCAUUUACUCUGCUGAAAUUCACAGACUGUACUACCAUAGAA